GUGGAACUGCCCGAUACGAUCCGCUGCGAACAUCCCUGAGGCGAUUCAUCUUCCUAGGGGGCUGUCCCUGGCCGGGCUCUGGCCCGAACUACAUGGUCCCCACCUGACGUUUACGGCGUCAGAGGAUAUUCCGGAAAACGGUCAUGGCGGUUCCACC
rnacentral:other from 1 species